AACGAACGUUGGCGGCGUGGAUUAGGCAUGCAAGUCGUACGAGUUUCAUCUGGGUACCUGGAUGGAAAAAGCGGCGAAAGGGGCAGUAAGGCAUGGAUAAUCUACCCUGAUGACCGGGAUAGCUGUCCCAACGGGCAGGUAAUACCGGAUGAGCUGGUGGGGCCGCAUGGUUCUGCCAGGAAAGGCGCAAGCCGUGUCGGGAGGAAUCCAUGUGAUAUUAGCUAGUUGGUGAGGUAAAGGCUCACCAAGGCGAAGAUGUCUAGCGGGUGUGAGAGCACGACCCGCGCCAUUGGCACUGAGACACUGGCCAGACUCCUACGGGAGGCUGCAGUCGAGGAUCUUCGGCAAUGGGCGAAAGCCUGACCGAGCGACGCCGCGUGAGCGAUGAAGGCCAUUAGGUUGUAAAGCUCUGUCGAGGGGGAACAAGCCGCAAGGUUGAGUGAUCCCUGGAGGAAGCACGGGCUAAGUUCGU
rnacentral:rRNA from 1 species